AUUGAACGCUGGCGGCAUGCUUUACACAUGCAAGUCGAACGGCAGCGGGGGCUUCGGCCUGCCGGCGAGUGGCGAACGGGUGAGUAAUGCAUCGGAACGUGCCCAAGUCGGGGGGGAUAACGUAUCGAAAGGUACGCUAAUACCGCAUACGUCCUGAGGGAGAAAGCGGGGGAUCUUCGGACCUCGUGCGAUUGGAGCGGCCGAUGUCGGAUUAGCUAGUAGGUGAGGUAAAGGCUCACCUAGGCGACGAUCCGCAGCGGGUCUGAGAGGAUGAUCCGCCACACUGGGACUGAGACACGGCCCAGACUCCUACGGGAGGCAGCAGUGGGGAAUUUUGGACAAUGGGAGCAAGCCUGAUCCAGCCAUGCCGCGUGAGUGAAGAAGGCCUUCGGGUUGUAAAGCUCUUUCGGCCGGGAAGAAAUCGCAUUCUCUAACAUAGGAUGUGGAUGACGGUACCGGACUAAGAAGCACCGGCUAACUACGUGCCAGCCGCCGCUGUAAAAC
rnacentral:rRNA from 1 species